UAGGGAAUCUUCCGCAAUGGGCGAAAGCCUGACGGAGCAACGCCGCGUGAGUGAUGAAGGUCUUCGGAUCGUAAAACUCUGUUAUUAGGGAAGAACAAAUGUGUAAGUAACUAUGCACGUCUUGACGGUACCUAAUCAGAAAGCCACGGCUAACUACGUGCCAGCAGCCGCGGUAAUACGUAGGUGGCAAGCGUUAUCCGGAAUUAUUGGGCGUAAAGCGCGCGUAGGCGGUUUUUUAAGUCUGAUGUGAAAGCCCGCGGCUCAACCGUGGAGGGUCAUUGGAAACUGGAAAACUUGAGUGCAGAAGAGGAAAGUGGAAUUCCAUGUGUAGCGGUGAAAUGCGCAGAGAUAUGGAGGAACACCAGUGGCGAAGGCGACUUUCUGGUCUGUAACUGACGCUGAUGUGCGAAAGCGUGGGGAUCAAACAGG
rnacentral:rRNA from 1 species